UUUGGCAACGGCAACGCCGCCGGGUAGAACAACUGGUAAGAAAUAAAUUCAUAAUAUCAAAUCAAACAUCAAUAUAUUUUAUCAAAUUCGUCGGAUGAGGAGAAACAUAUUUUAUUGCUAUUUAAAUAUUAUUGUGUUGCGGAUCUUGGAAAGAAUUUAUUUUGAAAACAAAAAGAUAAUGCGGAGAUCACAGUUUAUAUUGUAGUUGCGCGUGUGCAAGUUUUUUUUUUUUUAUUUUAACGAAUUUUCAUAAUAAUUUUUUUAAUCGGUCUAAACAUCGGGUAUAAUUAAAAAAUUUCAUCAAAGCAACGAUACGUAAUCGUAGAGUUGCAAAUAAAUUACGAUUUAGAGUGGAGCUCGUGGUUAAAAAUUCCCCGGUACGUUCAAACGGAACAUGUUUUAUUACCGUCACGAAAUAAUGUACAACUGUAUAAGUUCUAUACAUUAUUCGUGUACAAUUAGUCGCGCUUUUCGGAGAUCCGUGUUCAAGAACGAAUCGUCAAAGACGCUAUGCAGGCACCGAUGCGCUGACCGAUUCGCCCACAAAUAAUAAUCGUUCUUCGUGGCACAUUGAUUAUGCCGAUUUUCCCGACCGACAACCCUCGAUUUACUCCGCCGUCCUCGUUCUUGGCACACUUCGUGGCCCCGGUCGGACGUAUCGCGCGCAAUGGCAACCUACAACGCGAAUUACACAGCGCGUUACACAAAAAUUACUUCGGAACUGCGGAAAACGGUAUUGUUUUUGCGCGGAACAAUAUCGAUUAUAUUGUCCGGAGCCGACCAGUAAUGUCACAUUUUUCUCGCAAUAAUCCGACACUAAUCGUUGUACCUACAUAGUUAUCGCGCAGAUUUCCCUUCGUUUUUUCGAGAGCCGAAUUCGAUUACUUUUUUAUUAGUUUUUUACUCGCGACCCGUUGUUCGUCGAUAUUGUAGCGUUCUGUUAAAUUGAACGCCGUUAAAGUUCGCGGUGCUCGUCGUCCGCGAGUCGCGAUAGAUAUGUUGUCGGGAAAAACUGCAGCGUGCGCUUCAAUCGAAUAAAAAACGCGUGCGUUUUGUGUCUAGUUGUUUCUUCUCGAAAGACGUAUUAUUAAAUUUCGUCGAUUUUGGGCACGGAGCGGAAUUCACGGGCCCGAAACAAUAUGGAGGACUGUGGGACGGACGGCGAAAACGCUGCGGCCGAUAGAAAACAAAUCGGAAACUGCAGCACGGUAAAAAUAACGGCUUUGAAAAUCAGUAUACCCGACAAGUUGGCGGCGUUAACAGAC